rnacentral:rRNA from 1 species
UACGUAGGGGGCAAGCGUUGUCCGGAAUCAUUGGGCGUAAAGGGCGCGUAGGCGGCUUCGCAAGUGGAAGGUGAAAUCCCUCGGCUUAACCGAGGAACUGCCCUCCAAACUGCGUUGCUUGAGGCCGGGAGAGGUGAGUGGAAUUCCCAGUGUAGCGGUGAAAUGCGUAGAUAUUGGGAGGAACACCAGUGGCGAAGGCGGCUCACUGGACCGGUUCUGACGCUGAGGCGCGAAAGCGUGGGGAGCAAACGGG